rnacentral:misc_RNA from 1 species
AAGUCGUAACAAGGUCUCCGUUGGUGAACCAGCGGAGGGAUCAUUAUUGAGUUUCUAUCUCUUCUACCCUUUGUGAACCUUACCUUUUGCCUUCCCUAUACCCUAGGGGAAGCUGUUUUUUUUUUGUCUACCUAACAUAACUCUUACUAGAUGUUUUUAAACUUGCUGAGUUAAGCAUAUUGUAAAAUGAAAUCAAAACUUUCAACAACGGAUCUCUUGGUUCUG